CUACGGGUUGCUCCAGUGGGGAAUUUUCCGCAAUGGGCGAAAGCCUGACGGAGCAACGCCGCGUGGGUGAUGAAGUCCUUCGGGACGUAAAGCCCUUUCGCAGGGGAAGAAACAAAUGACGGUACCCUGAGAAGAAGCAUCGGCUAACUACGUGCCAGCAGCCGCGGUAAGACGUAGGAUGCGAGCGUUGUCCGGAAUUACUGGGCGUAAAGCGAGCGUAGGCGGCUCGGUAAGUUCGGGGUUAAAGACGGCAGCUCAACUGCCGGAGUGCCUCGAAGACUGCCGGGCUGGAGGAUGGUAGAGGAAAGUGGAAUUCCCAGUGUAGCGGUGAAAUGCGUAGAUAUUGGGAGGAACACCAGUGGCGAAAGCGGCUUUCUGGACCAUUUCUGACGCUGAGGCUCGAAAGCCAGGGGAGCAAACGGGAUUAGAUACCCUGGUAGUC
rnacentral:rRNA from 1 species